GACAGAGGGUGCAAACGUUGUUCGGAAUGACUGGGCGUAAAGCGCGUGUAGGCGGCCUCGCAAGUCGGGUGUGAAAGCCCUGGGCUCAACCCAGGAAGUGCACUCGAAACUGCAAGGCUCGAGUUCCGGAGAGGAAAGCGGAAUUCUCGGUGUAGAGGUGAAAUUCGUAGAUAUCGAGAGGAACACCGGUGGCGAAGGCGGCUUUCUGGACGGCGACUGACGCUGAGACGCGAAAGCGUGGGGAGCGAACAGG
rnacentral:rRNA from 1 species